GGUCUCGUUAUUCCAAGUUCCGAACAAUUUAUUCUAUUUCACCGCAGAGUGGCGGGUGUUGUGAGAGAACAGCGAUUCCAUCAAUCGGCGGGAUAACAAUCUAAUGAAUCCUCUGCAGAACACGGCUGCGGUUGCGGCGGCGGCGGCAGCGGCAGCUGGUGGCGGCGGGAGUGGCGGUAACGGGAUAGUUAUUCCUCAAAACAGUGAUACCUCCACCGUCACCGAAAUCGGCACCGCGGCCGAAGACGAUCCGAAGCAAAACCUGAACCAAGUGAUCAACUCCAUACAGAAAACGCUUGGAUUAAUCCACCAGCUCUACCUCACCGUCUCUUCCUUCAAUGUCGCCUCCCAACUUCCCCUCCUCCAGCGCUUAAAUUCACUUGUGUCUGAGCUGGACAACAUGACUAAAUUGGCGGAGAAAUGCAACAUCCAGGUGCCGAUGCAGGUCCUCAAUUUAAUUGAUGAUGGGAAGAAUCCCGAUGAAUACACUAAGGAUGUAUUGAAUGACUGUAUUGCCAAAAACCAGAUCACCAAAGGCAAAACCGAUGCCUUCAAGGGUCUACGGAGGAAUCUUCUUGAGGAACUUGAACAGGCAUUUCCAGAUGAAGUAGAGUCCUACAGGGAGAUAAGAGCUGCUUCCGCAGCUGAACUGAAGCGGCUUGCACAAGCACAGAGCAUCUUACCCAAUGGAGAUGUGAAAGUCAAACCCGAGCUUUGAGAGCCUAUGUUGUCAAUGAAUCAGACUAGUAAAUCUAUAGAAGAGUUAGGAACCAGAUUAAAAGCAUGAGCAGUCCCAGACUCCUAGAUGGGGAUUGAGACUCGGAAGACAGAUUAGGAGCAUGAGCAGUCAUGGGAACAGCUAUGCUUUUUAGCAUUUGAGGGAGAACAAACACUUCAAUUCUUUUGGUCAAGGGGCGAUGAGCGAGUCAGUUUAAGGGGUGUAAGAAUCUGCUAAGCUUUUGGUUUGAUUGAUGGAAUGAAGAUGAACCAGGAAAAUAACAUCCAUGCAUUGUUGGUUGGAUGAAUGAGUGACCAGCAGUUGCAACUAUUGGUUGUCUAAAGAAAGAAAGUAGAGAAAAGUGGUCAAAGUACAGGCUUCGUUUGAUUCUACUGUAGUUUUCCGUUUGAUGUUUUCAUUUUCACUUUUUUUUUAGUGCUAUGUUUUCAUUUCCAAAAAAUGGAUGUUGUCUCCACACUAAUAAUCGGCUUGCUCGAUGUAUCUCUAGUAGUGUCAUUCAGAUCUGUGUUUUUCCAACACAAAUUUGGAAGGAAAGAGUUGAUAUUUCUCCAUAGAAGCUACAAUUUUCAUCCCUGUCCAUAUAUUUACUUCCCUAUUUAGACAUGGCCCCAGAUUUGUUUUAGCACUGAGGUUCUUGCUUGUAGAUUCAAACCAGAUGCUAUGCUACUACUACGUCAUUGUUGUGAUUGUGAAAACCAAAGUAAGAAAGGGUGUUUUAGACUUUUAGUCAUUUUGUGCAGUCUUUGGCCAUUCAGUUCAGAAUCAGUGUAACUGUCCUCUAAUAUCUUUCACCAGCUCUUGCAUUUUUA